rfam:Lysinibacillus sp. BF-4 contig00043, whole genome shotgun sequence.
AUAGUUCUAUUCAAAAAUACUCAUAUAAUCGCGAGGAUAUGGCUCGCAAGUUUCUACCGGCUCACCUUAAAUGAGCUGACUAUGGGUUGUUUCGUUUAGGCA